UCAAACUUGGUCAUUUAGAGGAAGUAAAAGUUGUAACAAGGUUUCCGUAGGUGAACCUGCGGAAGGAUCAUUGCAGUUGGUUUCUCCUGAGAGGGGGGGAAAAGAAAAACCCCCCUUGAAGGAUUGAACUUAUAUAUCACACCUUUUGUGCACCGAUUUUGUUUUAUUUGCCCCAUGGUUUUUUUUUUUUUUGCAUGCCCUUUUUCUUCGAUCUCUAAGGAGUCAAAAAUUGAGAUGAAAUACAACUUUCAACAAUGGAUCUCUUGGCUUUCGCAUCGAUGAAGAACGCAGC
rnacentral:misc_RNA from 1 species